rnacentral:lncRNA from 1 species
UGCAUGAAAUUAAGAGGAGAUACUUAAACACGAAAGAAAAAGAACAUGAGAGAGAAAAUAAGGAGAAAAAGAAUGAGAUAGAAGGAAAGAGAUUAAAGGAGAGAGAUUGGAGAGAAUGCAUGAGAGAAUAGUGGGGGUUUGGUUGCUGGUGAGAGAGAAAUAGGCAAUGCUCUAUUUUUUUCCUAAAGCUCAUCCAUAAAUCAUAUUAUCAUGAUACUAUAUUUUUUUCCUAUUGCAUGAGAAAGAAAGGUGCAUCACGGAGAGAGGCAUAUGGCCUCCUCAACAUUCCACCAC